AAGUCGUAACAAGGUUUCCGUAGGUGAACCUGCGGAAGGAUCAUUUCCAAAUUUAAAAUGGAAAACUAGAUAGUCUACCUUUGGUUGCUAUCUGUUUUCUAAUAUCAACCUGUUGUAUUGUAUGUCAAAAUAACACUCAAUUAAAACACAACUUUUAACAAUGGAUCUCUUGGCUCUU
rnacentral:misc_RNA from 1 species